UCCAUAUGAUGGACACCUUGCCUCUUUUUCUCUUGAUCCAAGAGUUGGAAGUCUUCUCCAUCUUCUUCUGCUUCAGAUUAAUCCAAGAGUUGGAUGAAAGGAAAGAAAAGAGAUUUGAUCUCUCAUAUUCCUCCUUUGCUAGAUCUUCUUCUGUUUCUUUUGAGAAGAGAAAUAGGGAAGAAAAAAUCAGAUUAGAUCCAUUUCUUUCUCCUACAAUAGAUAUAUUUGGUUCUCUUAAGAAGAGAAUCAAAAGAGGAAUUGAUUCGACAAUCCAGGCAGCGAUCUCUGCAAAAGAGCUAGCAUUCCAGUGAGAUCGGGAUCUCUUUAUCAGAUCUACCUCAUGUGGAUAUCUGUAGAAGUUGGAUGC
rnacentral:lncRNA from 1 species